ensembl:lncRNA
AAAAAAGUCAUAUCUCUUCGGAACAACCUUCAGCCAUACUGGGCUGAAAAUGAUUCCAUCCUUUUUACUAACCCACUUGGCUCCUGAACAACCUGUUUCCCCUGAAAAAAAGGAUAAAAGGCAGACCUGCUGUUAGAUUAUUGGUCGGAUCUUCAUUUACAUAAUUCCUUAGUAGUGUGCAGUCUCACAGUUCUUCAAAACAAAGAUGGUUAAAAUUGCAGUAGGGGUCACAUUUUAUUUUAACCUAAUCAUUUUAUAUACAUCAUAUAAAUGAUACAUUACACAUUAUCCACAAUUGCUUUUUGGUUUGAUAGGUGUAACUAUUUUAUCCUAGAGUAAAUGAGAGUAACCCUACUUUUAAAGCUCAUAAAAUAUUUUCAGGGAGUCAGAAGCCUACUUACUUUACUCUUUGUGUAUUUGAGAGAGUAAAAAUCUUGAUUAAGACAAUGAGAGAAGGGAAAGGACGGAAAAGACAAAAAAAAAAAAUAGAGACAGGAAAUCUGUGUACCUGCUCAGAGAGUCAUUGUUCUUAUCUAUGUGCUUUGAAAUAGAACUCCUUUAUCUAGUUUCCUUUGCUACUUGUUCACAUUACUUUUAACACAGAUCCACUUUUUGAGCAAACUUUUGGUAUUCUUUAAUGACUAGAAAUUCUUUGAUGACCCACUUUGGUGGUAAUAUGUUAGACACACUAUAGCAAUUAUGUAAGAAUAUUUUUUGUUUCUGUUCUUAAAAGAUCUUAAAGAUGAACAAAAUGCAGCAACAUUUUUAUUCACAGUUAUUCAGUAGAUGUAGAAACCUUGACUAGUUCUAUAAGUAAACUAUGGUUGUGCCAUAAUUUUUGGAAUUGUAUGGUUUUUAAAAAAACAGGAAGAUAAAGGAGACUUUUUUAAACCAGAAAAUAUGGCUUUUGAGUCAUAACUUUGAGAUGGUAUUCUUGCUUCUGGCUGCCAUAUUAUAAGCUCUUGAAGGUUAUAAGUUCUGUACAGGUUUUGAUGAAGUUUUGGAUUCUAGUGCCCAGCACUGAAUGUAGCAUCAUGUCUGUAUUCAGUACAUAUUUGAUGAGUGAAUGGCUGUUAUCUUACAUGAAUGUUAUUUUCCAGCUUUUAAUGAAGUGGUUUAAAGCAUAAGUUCAGUUACACUGCCAGGGUUUGAAUCCUGACUCUACUAUAUGACCUUGAGCAAAUUACUUUGUCUUUCUGUGCCUCAGUUUCUUUAUUUGCAAAAUGAGGAUAAUAAAUAGUACCUCAUGGGGUGGUUGUGAAUAGUAAAAUGUUAAUACAGAUUACAUUAUUAUUUUGAUCACUACUCACAGGCAUUGUAUAAUUAAUAUCAAGCCUUGUGAAUGGCAUGAAAUACAUGAACAAUCAGUGUCUUCUUAUUGACUUUAUAUAAUAACAAUAAUAAUGAUGAUUUAUUAAGGGUCAACCAUGUCCAGGACACUUCUCAACCCUGCAAGGUAAGUGGUAUUAACCCUAUCUUUAGGGGGGUAAAAAAUAGAUGGUUAAGUUAAGGCAGGUGAUAGCCCUCAGACUUCACAGCUUAAUAAGAGACCUAGUAUGAUUUAAAGCUAGCUCGUUCUAGCCCCCAAACCCAUGUUCCUUUUAUUGAGUGACUUUAAAGACAUUGAGAAAAUAAAUUUCUUACACUUUUAGGUUUGACUUCAGCCCAUGUCACUAACUAAUGAAUUCAUGUAAAGAACAUAUUUCCAGAAACCUAAUUUAUUGAGUCUGCUGAAAAGUAACCUUUUUCUGAGAAUCAGAUAUUUUGGGCCAUGGGGACCAAAUAUGUUAUUUGAAUCAGAUGAAGAAGAGAUUGACUUUUCUGGUAAUAAAAGAUUAUUUUAUUACAUGAAUUUAUCUGGAUUUAAUAUUACAAUACUCGGAAAGAAUCAUCUGUCAGCAGUGAUACCUGCUAGGACAAUGGAUAUUUUUCAGUUUUAAGAUUAAUUUCCUGUUUUGAUGUGUUUUAAUCUACGAUAGAUGAUAGUAUUAUGCAGAUUGGGAUUUUUCCAUCUUCUCAUACUUUGAUUAGGUUACUGAAGACCCAUGCCAGAAAGUAGUAUAAAUAUUUUGACUCUCUCUUAUUAAGAAGGGGGAAAUUACUUAGAACAAAAGCAUUGAAAGCAAAAGGAGAUUGCCAUUUUAUUGAAAUCUGUGGUAUUAUUUCCUUACCUAACCACUCCUUGAAUCUGUGCUUCACAAAACAUUAGACUGUAAUUGUGUCCCACCUGAGAGCUGUAGCCCCUUCCUUAAGGUCCUAAGGCAUUUAUAAAAUGAAAAUGGAUAUGGAAUUGGGCUUAGAGCAGAGUGUUAAUAAGUUUAAGUUUACACAUGCAGGUUAGCUUUGCCAAACCACAGGCUUCACUGAACUCAAGUUCAUGUCUUGGAUGCUGAAUGGUGUACAGGUUGCACAAGAGACUCAUGGAAGGAGAUGUGACUGGAUCAGUGCUCAUCCAUCAGCCCUCUGGGCAAAAUGUGAAUCCAGAGAUAACAACAAUAACAUUGUUAUUAGUUUAUUUCUUGUAUGGUGUUUUAAACUGAUAUUAUAGCCAAUUUAAAUACCUACCAACUAAGGUUACAUAAUCACACAUGGCUACCUAUAAGAGGAGUGUUAUACCAGUUAUUUCUAAACUUUGAAAUAAAAUUUUAAGAUUGAAAUUUUAAAUGCACUGUACAAAGACAUUUAAAGUUAUGGGUUAUUUACAUAAGACUUGUUUACCUCUUUGGCAUAUAACAUACUCAAGAAGUUGCUUUGCUGAUUGUAUAUAAAUCCAAUAUAUAAAAUAGGUACCAAUAGUGUAUUCCUUUGUGAAUCAUAACUAUAAUUUACUGACUUCUGUACAUGUAAAAAUUCAGUGUUUUCUACAGAAGUUCCAAGUUCUUCCCACCUCUCAGGUGUGAAUAGAAGUGAUAGCCCCUCCCACUAAGAAAUGCAAAGAAGCCCAUGUUCCCCCCAGUCUGAUGACUUAUAGAUGCACUGGGAGAUAGAGGUGAGGAGUUUAAGAAUGGGGAAGAGGAUAGUUAGAGAUUGCAUCUAAGAGUGGGCUUUUUUUCUUUGUGUUUUAUAUUUAGCCUUUUAAACUAAGGUGGAUAAAACUGUUGCUUUUUUACUACUCAUUUCCUAUAUUUUACUUAGUAAUUUCAUAUAUUAAUGAAAUCACUUGUUUUUUCAUAACCUUCUGGGAGUAGUUGGUAAUCUUUGAGAGAAGGAAAAUCAGAGAAGACAGGAAGAAGGGGGCAAAAGCCACGCAGAAACCAAACCUUACUAUUGUGAUUCGGCUCCAACCUCCUGCCAGGAAAUGGCCAUUGCCAUUGAGUAUAUAUGAUAAUGGCAUUCUUUAUAUAUGCAUGGUCACCUUGCAAAUAUAAUUUUAAAUGAUUCAGACAGGUUAGAACGUUUUCAAAUAUUUGUCUUUGUUUUCACUGACGUUGUAAAUGAAUAUUCUCUUCGAAAAUGUAAAGAAAAACAUUUUGGUAAAACGUCUCAUGGUUUUUCUCUCUCUCUUUUUUUCUUUUUUCACACUUGAUGUGUUUUUCCUCACAUUUCAGAUUUUGCACCGUUAACCAUCAAAUGCAUUAAAGAAGAGAUCUGGAAAAGAGGCUCCAUCAUUUUCUUGGGAGCCAUUUUAAUAUCGUUGUAACCUAAGUAGUGCAGACUAGGAACUCUUGCCUGAAAAGCAAAUCCUGGGAUUCUGAUUCUUAGUAAGAUAGCAUUUAAAUGAACCAAA